UCUUGAUGACGAGCACAUCUGUAGAUGACGAGUCCGAAAUCCAUUCAGUUUCCGUGAGGACAAAUCGAGGCAUUUGUCCGAGAGAA
rnacentral:snoRNA from 1 species